rnacentral:rRNA from 1 species
GAUGAACGCUGGCGGCGUGCUUAACACAUGCAAGUCGAACGGAAAGGCCCAAGCUUGCUUGGGUCCUCGAGUGGCGAACGGGUGAGUAACACGUGGGUGAUCUGCCCUGCACUUCGGGAUAAGCCUGGGAAACUGGGUCUAAUACCGGAUAGGACCACAUUUUGGAUGGUGUGGUGGAAAGUUUUUCGGUGUGGGAUGAGCUCGCGGCCUAUCAGCUUGUUGGUGGGGUAAUGGCCUACCAAGGCGUCGACGGGUAGCCGGCCUGAGAGGGUGUACGGCCACAUUGGGACUGAGAUACGGCCCAGACUCCUACGGGAGGCAGCAGUGGGGAAUAUUGCACAAUGGGCGUAAGCCUGAUGCAGCGACGCCGCGUGGGGGAUGACGGCCUUCGGGUUGUAAACUCCUUUCGCUAGGGACGAAGCGUUUUUGUGACGGUACCUGGAGAAGAAGCACCGGCUAACUACGUG